rnacentral:rRNA from 1 species
UACGUUCCCGGGCCUUGUACACACCGCCCGUCACACCACGAAAGUCGGCAACACCCGAAAGCCGGUGGCCCAACCGCAAGGAGGGAGCCGUCGAAGGUGGGGUCGGUGAUUGGGGUG